rnacentral:rRNA from 1 species
CAAUAGCGUAUAUUAAUGUUGUUGCAGUUAAAAAGCUCGUAGUUGGAUCUUGGAACGUGGAGGGUAGGCCCACCGUGUAGGUGCGCGCCAGCUUCUCCCGUUCUCCCUGCGGGACAUUCGCCUCUGCUAUUAAUUUAGGGGAGGUAUUCACCAUGUGAUUCGUUCUAUGUAGUUAGGGCGGGUGUAGCCUUUUGGAGACAUUCGUUCGCUGUGUAGAAUGGAAUGCCCGCUUGUUUACCUUGAGCAAAUUAGAGUGUUUAAAGCAGGCGAUUGCCUUGAAUACAAAAGCAUGGGAUAAUAGAAUAGGACUUUUGGUUCUAUUUUAUUGGUUUUGAGAACCAAAGUAAUGAUUAAUAGGGACAGUCGGGGGCAUUCGUAUUGACUUGUCAGAGGUGAAAUUCUUGGAUUGUGUCAAGACGAACUUGGGCGAAAGCAUCUGUCAAGGAUGUUUUCAUUAA